UACAGAGGGUGCUAGCGUUGUUCGGAAUUAUUGGGCGUAAGGGGCGCGUAGGCGGCCCUGUGUGUCGGGUGUGAAAGCCCACCUCUUAAAGGUGGAAUUGCAUUCGAAACUACAGGGCUGGAGUGUCGGAGAGGAUGGCGGAAUUCCUGGUGUAGAGGUGAAAUUCGUAGAUAUCAGGAGGAACACCGGUGGCGAAGGCGGCCAUCUGGACGACAACUGACGCUGAGGCGCGAAAGCGUGGGGAUCAAACAGG
rnacentral:rRNA from 1 species